rnacentral:rRNA from 1 species
UUGGGAAUCUUGGACAAUGGGGGAAACCCUGAUCCAGCCAUGCCGCGUGAGUGAUGAAGGCCUUAGGGUUGUAAAGCUCUUUCGCACGCGACGAUAAUGACGGUAGCGUGAGAAGAAGCCCCGGCUAACUUCGUGCCAGCAGCCGCGGUAAUACGAAGGGGGCUAGCGUUGUUCGGAAUUACUGGGCGUAAAGCGCGCGCAGGCGGGUCAUCAAGUCAGAGGUGAAAGCCCGGAGCUUAACUCCGGAAUAGCCUUUGAAACUGUUGAUCUUGAGUACGGGAGAGGUGAGUGGAAUUCCCAGUGUAGAGGUGAAAUUCGUAGAUAUUGGGAAGAACACCAGUGGCGAAGGCGGCUCACUGGCCCGUUACUGACGCUCAGGCGCGAUAGCGUGGGGAUCAAACA